AUCACUUCUCAGCCUUUUGGCUAAGAUCAAGUGUAGUAUAUUUUCAAUUCUAUUGGUAAUAUGGAUUCAUAAGAAUACUUUAUACACAAGGAUAGUAAGAUUUUUUUCUAUCAUUUUCC
ensembl:snRNA U2 U2 spliceosomal RNA